UACGAAGGGGGCUAGCGUUGUUCGGAAUUACUGGGCGUAAAGCGUAUGCAGGCGGAUCUUUAAGUCAGGGGUGAAAUCCUGAGGCUCAACCUCAGAACUGCCUUUGAUACUGGAGAUCUUGAGUCCGGGAGAGGUUAGUGGAACUGCGAGUGUAGAGGUGAAAUUCGUAGAUAUUCGCAAGAACACCAGUGGCGAAGGCGGCUAACUGGCCCGGUACUGACGCUGAGAUACGAAAGCGUGGGGAGCAAACAGG
rnacentral:rRNA from 2 species